UGGACCUCCCGCAGGCCGAAGGCACCCUGCCUGCCGCCCCAAGCCCCGCUGCUGGGGCCUGGAGCCGCCCGGUGGAGAAGAGCACGUGCAGGCACGUGCAGGAUCAGACCUGGACACUUGGCCUUGCCUGGCUUCAGGCAGAGCCUGAGCCUGGCAGGUCGGAGCCUGAGGACUCUGGGUACUGAUGGAAUCGGAGGAAAGGCAUACAGCCGAGAGUUCAUCCAUGAUAGCUGAAAAGCAUUUGUCAAAGACCCAGGUCUGGAAUUCUCUCAGCAGCAGAACAGGAGGCAUUUGUUGCAAACAGGUCCAGGUGGGAAGUUUCCCCAGAGCUGGAAGAUGAGCCUAGCCACAUCUGGACCUAGUGACCAUUCAUGGUGAGGGGACAAAGACCUGCUCAGACAAGGUCAGCUCCCACACUGCUGUCCUGGGCAACACAGUAUGAGGAGGAGGUGAGCAACCCUCCAUGGUGAAAGAAUGGAUUAAGGACUGAUUAGAAAAGCUGGACAUGCAGAAAUCCAUGGGUCCAGAUCUAAUGCAUCUGAGUAUGCUGAGGAAAUUGGCUGAUGUGAUUGCAGAGCCAUUGGCCACUAACUUUGAAAACUCAUCCGAUCGGGGGAGGUCCUGGAUGAUUGGAAAAAGGCAAAUAUAGUGCCCAUCCUUAAAAAAGGGAAGAAGGAGAACCUGAGGAACUGCAGACCGGUCAGCCUCACCUCAGUCCCUGGAAAAAUCAUGGAGGAGGUCCUCAAGGAAACCAUCUUGAAGCACUUGGAGGAGAGGAAGGUGAUUAGCAAUAGUCAACAUGGAUUCACCAAGGGCCUGACCAACCUGAUUGCCUUCUAUGAUGAGAUAACUGGCUCUGUGGAUAUGGGGGAAAUGGUGGACAUGAUAUAUCUUGACUUUAGCAAAGCUUUUGGUAUGGUCUCCCAUGAUAUUCUUGCCAGCAAGUUAAAAAAGUAUGGAUUGGAUGAAUGGACUACAAGAGGGAUAGAAAGCUGGCUAGAUUGUUGGGCUCAAUGUCUAGUUGGCAGCUGGUAUCAAGCAGAGUGCCCCAAGGGUCAGUCCUGGGGCUGGUUUUGUUCAACAUAGAAUAUCAGUGUUGGAAAGGACCUCAGGAGGUCAUCUAGUCCAACCCCCUACUCAAAGCAGGAUCAAUCCCCAAACAGAUUUUUGCCCCAAGAUCCCUCAAUGGCCCCCUUGAGGGUUGAACUCACAACCUUGGUUUUAGCAGGCCAAUGCUCAAACCACUGAGCUAUCCCUCCCCACCCCCAACAAUUUUAUUAAUGAUCUGGAUGAUGGGAUUAAUUGCACCCUCAGCAGUUUGCAAAUGACACUAAGGUGUGGGGAGAAGUAAAUAUGCUGGAGGGUAGGGAUGGGGUCCAGAAUGACCUAGACAAAUUGGAGGAUUGGGCCAAAAGAAGUCUGAUGAGGUUCAACAAGAACAAGUGCAGAAUCCUGCACUGAGGACGGAAGAAUCCCAUGCACCGCUACAGGCUGGGAACUGACUGGCUAAGCAGCAGUUCUGUAGAAAAGGACCUGGGGAUUACAGUGGAUCAGAAGCUGGAUAUGAAUCAGCAGCCCUUGUUGCCAAGACGGCUAAUGGCAUAUUGGGCUGCAUUAGUAGAUGCAUUGCCAGCAGAUCGAGGGAAGUGAUUAUUCCUCUCUAUUCUGCACUGGUGAGGCCACACCUGGAGUACUGCGUCCAGUUUCGGUCCCCCCACUACAGCAGGGAUGUAGACAAAUUGGAGAGAGUCCAGUGGAGGGCAACAAAAAAGAUCCAGGGGCUGGGUCACAUGACUUAUGAGGAGCGGCUGAGGGAACUGGACUUGUUUAGUCUGCAGAAGAGAAGAGGGAGAGGAUAUUUGUUAGCAGCCUUCAACUACCUGAAGGUUGGUUCUAAAGAGGAUGGAGCUCGGCUGUUCC